rnacentral:rRNA from 1 species
GUCUGUGGCCAUGCCACCCUGAACAAGCCCGAUGUCUGAUCUCGGAAGCUAAGCAGGGACAGGGCUGGUUAGUACUUGGAUGGGAGACCACCUAGGAAGACCAGGUGCUGUAGGCG